rnacentral:rRNA from 1 species
GCUUGUCUCAAAGAUUAAGCCAUGCAUGUCUUAGUGUAAAUAACUCUUAUGAAACUGCGAAUGGCUCAUUAAAUCAGUUAUCGUUUAUUUGAUGGUCCCUUACUACAUGGAUAACCGUAGUAAUUCUAGAGCUAAUACAUGCACAAAGGCCCGACUCACGAAGGGCUGUAUUUAUUAGAUUGAAACCAAUGCAGCUUCGGCUGGUAUUGUGUUGAGUCAUAAUAACUGUGCGGAUCGCUUUUUAAGCGAUAAAUCGAUUGAGUUUCUGCCCUAUCAGCUUUGGAUGGUAGGAUAUGGGCCUACCAUGGCGUUAACGGGUAACGGGGAAUUAGGGUUUGAUUCCGGAGAGGGAGCCUUAGAAACGGCUACCACAUCCAAGGAAGGCAGCAGG